rnacentral:rRNA from 1 species
ACGGAAGGCAGCAGUGGGGGAUAUUGCACAAUGGGGGAAACCCUGAUGCAGCGACGCCGCGUGAGUGAUGAAGUAUUUCGGUAUGUAAGGCUCUAUCAGCAGGGAAGAUAAUGACGGUACCUGACUAAGAAGCACCGGCUAAAUACGUGCCAGCAGCCGCGGUAAUACGUAUGGUGCAAGCGUUAUCCGGAUUUACUGGGUGUAAAGGGAGCGUAGACGGCAAGGCAAGCCAGAUGUGAAAGGCUGGGGCUCAACCCCGGGACUGCAUUUGGAACUGUCUAGCUAGAGUAUCGGAGAGGUAAGUGGAAUUCCUAGUGUAGCGGUGAAAUGCGUAGAUAUUAGGAGGAACACCAGUGGCGAAGGCGGCUUGCUGGACGAUAACUGACGUUGAGGCUCGAAAGCGUGGGGAGCAAACAGGAUUAGAUACCCUGGUA